rfam:Enterobius vermicularis genome assembly, scaffold: EVEC_scaffold0001072
CCAACGGCCCUCAUUAGGGCCACAAGUCAUGAAUUAAACGUUCAGG